rnacentral:rRNA from 1 species
GACGAACGCUGGCGGCGUGCUUAACACAUGCAAGUCGAACGGUAAGGCCCUUCGGGGUACACGAGUGGCGAACGGGUGAGUAACACGUGGGUGAUCUGCCCUGCACUUCGGGAUAAGCCUGGGAAACUGGGUCUAAUACCGGAUAGGACCACUGCCUGCAUGGGUGGUGGUGGAAAGCUUUUGCGGUGUGGGAUGGGCCCGCGGCCUAUCAGCUUGUUGGUGGGGUGAUGGCCUACCCAGGCGACGCCGGGUAGCCGGCCGGAGAGGGUGACCGGCCACACGGGGAGUGAGAUACGGCCCAGACGCCUACGGGAGGCAGCGGUGGGGAAUAUUGCACAAUGGGCGCAAGCCUGAUGCAGCGACGCCGCGUGAGGGAUGACGGCCUUCGGGUUGUAAACCUCUUUCAGCACCGACGAAGCGCAAGUGACGGUAGGUGCAGAAGAAGGACCGGCCAACUACGUGCCAGCCGCCGCCGUAA